UCGAACCAGCAAGGGCACAUGGCGAAUGACUUGGCAUCGGGAGGCGAUGAAGGACGUUGGAACCUGCGAAAAGCCUGAGGGAGCUGGUAACCGAGCUGUGAUCUCAGGAUGUCCGAAUGGGGAAACCCGGCCCUUUUGGGUCAUCGUACGCUGAAUGCAUAGGCGUACGAAGCGAACGUGGGGAACUGAAACAUCUCAGUACCCACAGGAAAGGAAAGCAACCGCGACUCCGUAAGUAGUGGCGAACGAAAGCGGAUAAAUCAGUGGAACGACGAACACGUUGGAAUGCGUGACCAAAGAAGGUGACAGUCCUGUAGCGGAAAGCUGAUGAGCUCUAGAGUAGGUCCGGGCCCGUGAAACCCGGAUUGAACAUGGGGGGUCCACCCUCCAAGGCUAAGUACUACCCGAUGACCGAUAGUGAAUCAGUAAGGUGACUGAACGUUGAAAAGCACCGCGAUGAGCGGGGUGAAAGAGUACCUGAAACCAUGUGCCUACAAGCGGUCGGAGCUCUGCGGAGUGACGGCGUGCUUUUUGCAUAAUGAGCCCGCGAGUUAGCCUCAGCGGCGAGCCUAAGACCUACCGGGUCGGAGGCGAAGGGAAACCGAGUCUGAUAAGGGCGCGGAGUCGUUGGGGCUAGACACGAAACCCGUGCGAUCUACCCAUGGCCAGGGUGAAGGUGGGGUAAAACCCGCUGGAGGCCCGAACCCGUUAUCGUUGAAAAGAUAUGGGAUGAGCUGUGGGGAGGGGUUAAAGUCCAAUCAAGCCGGGAGAUAGCUUGUUCUCGCCGAAAUAACUUUAGGGUUAGCCUCAGGCAGCAACAUGCGGGGGUAGAGCUACUGGAUGCGUGGUGGGCCCUCAUCGGGUACCCCAUGCAACCAAACUCCGAAUACCGCAUGCCAAGGCCUGGGAGAUAGACCGCGAGUGAAAAUAUCCGCGGUCAAAAGGAGAAAAAUCCAGAUCGCCAGCUAAGGCCCCUAAAUCGUGUUUAGUUCGAAAGGAAGUCAGAUUGCUUUGACACCCAGGAUGUUGGCUUAGAAGCAGCCAUCAUUUAAAGAGUGCGUAAUAGCUCACUGGGCGAGGAGUCUGGCGCCGAUAAUAAUCGGGAAUAAACAUGAUGCCGAAGCUGCGGACAUCUUUGAUGUGGUAGGCGAGCGUUCCAUUUGCUUAGAAGCGGUUCCGAAAGGGAUCGUGGAGCGUAUGGAAGUGAAUAUGCGGGCUUGAGUAACGAUAAACAAGGUGAGAAUCCUUGUCGCCGUAAACCCAAGGUUUCCUGGGGAAGGUAAAUCCGCCCAGGGUUAGCCGGGACCUAAGGCGAGGCCGAAAGGCGUAGUCGAUGGACAGCAGGUUAAUAUUCCUGCGCUCUCUGGUGAACGGACCGUGAAUACCUUCUGCCUUACUAGAUUGGUAGGCCUUCGGGCCGUUGAAGGCUGAAGCGGUUCCCAGAAAAAAACCAGUAUAGACCCGUACCGAUAACUGACACAGGUGGGUGGGAUGAAUAAUCCAAGGCGCUCGAGAGAACGGUCGUGAAGGAACUAGGCAAAUUUACUCCGUACGUUCGCAAGAAGGAGGCCCUUCGGGGCGCAGAGAAAAGGUCCUAGCAACUGUUUAUCAAAAACACAGCACUGUGCGAACUGGCAACAGGACGUAUACAGUGUGACGCUUGCCCAAUGCCGAAAGGUCACGGAAGCAGGUUAGCUUCGGCGAAGCUUGCAACCUAAGCCUCGGUCAAUGGCGGCCGUAACUAUGACGGUCCUAAGGUAGCGAAGUUCCUUGUCGGGUAAGUU
rnacentral:rRNA from 1 species